rnacentral:rRNA from 1 species
UACGAAGGGGGCUAGCGUUGCUCGGAAUCACUGGGCGUAAAGGGUGCGUAGGCGGGGCUUUAAGUCAGGGGGGAAAUCCUGGAGCUCAACUCCAGAACUGCCUUUGAUACUGAGGAUCUUGAGUAUGGGAGAGGUGAGUGGAACUGCGAGUGUAGAGGUGAAAUUCGUAGAUAUUCGCAAGAACACCAGUGGCGAAGGCGGCUCACUGGCCCAUUACUGACGCUGAGGCACGAAAGCGUGGGGAGCAAACAGG